UCUCCAGCAGAUCUGGUUCCUCCUCCUCUCCAGCAGCUCCUCCCCCUCCUCUCCAACGGUUCCUCCUCUCCAGCAGCUCCUCCUCUUCCUCCUGUCCAGCAGCUCCUCCUCUUCCUCCUGUCCAGCAGCUCCUCCUCAUCCUCCUGUCCAGCAGCUCCUCCUCUGCAGUACAGCAACAACAAGCAAGAGCAACAGUAAGGUAUACCUCCCUCUCCCUUCUCCCACACCCUCCUCUGCUCUCUUUCUUCUUUGCUGGACUGUUUUGUGCUAGCUGUUCUUUCCUAUUGUAAGCAGAAAUGAUGAUGCCUUAGUUGGGGAGCUUAGGAGCUGCUUUAAUGAUGUGCUUGCAAAAAUGGUACCGGAUGCCAAUGUUCGAAAAAAGAUUGAUCAACAAUCUGUGCUCUAUGAGCAACAGCGAGAAAGCUUUUCUAAUCCAUUGGCACUCGAGACCAUGAGCACAAGAAACCCUCGUAAGUCAUAUUAAAUGCAUCAUGUUAAUUUCAGCAUGUUAAUUCCAGUUCCAGCAAUGUAAUUUCUGUACAAACUCUUAAUAUGUGUCAGUUUUUAUCAUUUUAGUUGAUUGGUGGAGUUCAUUUGGUGGUCGGGCCAUUGACCUACAAAGGUUUGCAAAGCGCAUUGUUAGUCUUUGUGCUUCAUCAUCUGGUUGUGAGAGGAAUUGGAGCACGUUUGAAUUUAUCCAUACAAAGAAAAGGAACAGAUUACAAUGGAAAAGGUUGAAUGAUCUUGUCUUUGUUUCAUACAACCGGAAGAAUAUGCAACGGUUUCAAAAGAGGCGUGAGAAGGUGGGCGAGAAUAGCUUUGAGGCUUUGGUCAUUGAGGAUUUUGAUUGGGGCAAUGAGUGG